AUGGCCAAGGUUGCACGCAAAGACGACAGUAAGCUCCAGGACGACGUCCUCCUCGACAUCUUCCAGCGCGUGGUUGGUUUCCUUGACAUCAUCCGCUGCGCCGCGACGUGCAAACAGUGGUGCCGCCUCGUCACUGACCGGACCUUCCUCCGGCGUAUAGGCCUCUGGCCGGAGAACGCCAAUCGCCCGUCUAUCCUAGUUGGAAUCUUCUCCUCCAACGCGCCACCGUUCCACGACAUCCCCAACGACCUCGAGCCUUUGAACAGGGAACCACAAUGCCCUCCGCAGUUCUCGGGCCUCGAGAGUGGCACCGCGCAUUUCGUCUUCGACUCCGUUGUUGCAAACGACAAUGGGCUUUUCAACCACGCAAGACCGAUGGCGUCACGCGGCGGCCUCCUCCUCUUCGAAGUCUUCCUGCCUCAACCCGUCGGUGACUACCGUGAGCUUCAUCUCGCCGUACGCCGCCCUAUGAUUGAUAGAUGGGACACACGUCUUCUUCACCACCCCCCUUCAACAUGA
rnacentral:rRNA from 1 species